rfam:Fimbriiglobus ruber strain SP5 contig02, whole genome shotgun sequence.
CUCAGGGUUCACACCCUGGGCCAUUUUCUGCCGCCCCGUUGGGGCU